GAGGAGUGACGCAGUUAGAGAGAGAGCGCGGGCGAGGAACCGUGGGCAGGCUUAGCCCUUUCCUCUCACCUUUCAUUCAGGAGAUCCUGAGGUCUCAGACUGAAGACAGGCCUGUUCCGUGUUGUCUUCUCAUCAGCAUUGGCCAGGGAUCAGCUGGGAGCCUACUGGCUCUGUUUUGUGUUUCUGAAGGAGGAAUCGCUGCCAGGAAGAAAUACCAUCUUAUCUCUGUUUCCCAGCUCCCAACUUUCUUCUAUCAUUUUCUCAUAUUCAACUGAAAAGAAAGAGGGAAUUUACAGCUAUAUAAUACUUUUCUGCACUGAAGGGCUACCAGAUUUGGAAAACCUCAUGAAGUAAACUGGAACUAUGUUCAAAGGGACUCAGAUAGCCAGGGGAAAGGGACUACAGGCCUUCAGGAAUUUUUCCAGAGGUAUAAAGUCUUGGAAGCCAUUUCUUCCCUGAAAAGUGCCAAAGUCAUGGGACACUCAGAACAAAAGGACCCUGCGGCCGGGGGGACAGAUGUUGAGCUAUAAGAAAGGAACUGAUCCUUCCUCAUAUCCUUUAUCAGGAAUCAGGACAAACACACACAACCUAGUCUAAAUUUGUCAGCCGUGUCUUGGGAGACAUCAUUUGAUUGAUGGUGACACUGAAUCUAGCUUACAGAGAGCAAGAGAGCCCAUAUGGUGCUGGGUGUUUUGGCAAGAAAUGUGAUUUAUGUAGGAACUUAUGGUUUUAAAUUCAGCCAUGGAGUGAUUUUAAGGAUAUAAAGGAGCUUUAGGUGAGUCCAACACAGUGUAGUCUAAUAUUUUUGUUUUCAAUGAAGAAAUUGCCCCAGGGUCCUUAUAAUCCGUUAGUGCCGAUUCUGAGAACUUUUACGGUUAUCUUGCCCUUCACUCACCACCCAAUCUGCUACUUCCUUUGUUUUUCAAGUUGGGACAAACAUUUUCCUUUAAGAAAAUAGUAGAUGAAAUUUACUUUAUGACUUUAGAAACGAUGUCAGCACUGUCACUUCUUGUUGUUUCAUCUAACCUUCUCGAGAACCUGUGGCCCAAGGAUAUUACUGUUGUGACCGCCUCUUACAGAGGAGGAACCAGGGCUUCAGAGGAGAUCCACACUGCACACCCCAUCACAGCCAGAGUCUGGAGGAUCUCAUCUCAGAGAGGCACCCGGAGCCACCACCGGAAACCAGUGCCCUCCACUGUGGUCUCUGCGUAGGGAGUUCCUGUCGAACACGGUUGGUCCAGCUGAUGGAGCCGGGGGAGACAACAAACUCGGCACUGUCCAGCCCAGCACUGUCUUCCUCUCUCUUUCCCACACUCCUUUUCCUGCCAUGGUGGCCUUUCCCACCUGGAGCAGCCCGCAUGUGGAUGAAGUGUUCUACCAGGGCUUCAGCUGGACGGAUCCUUCUUGUUUUAUUUUUACCUUUGAUUAUAAAGGUGCUUAGGGCACAGACUUUUUACUGUUUGUUUAGUGCAAUCUUAUUUAUUGUAUAAGGUCAUGUAUA